GUUUAACGGCCGCGGUAUUUUGACCGUGCAAAGGUAGCGCAAUCACUUGUCUUUUAAAUAAAGACCUGUAUGAAUGGCAUGACGAGGGCUUAACUGUCUCCUUCUCCCGGUCAAUGAAAUUGAUCUCCCCGUGCAGAAGCGGGGAUAUUAUUAUAAGACGAGAAGACCCUGUGGAGCUUUAAAUGAUGAGAGAUUUUAUGCAACAAACCUAAAAAGGUAUAAGCGAAUUUAUACUCCCUCUAAUAUUUUUGGUUGGGGCGACCGCGGAGUAAAAAGAAACCUCCGUGAGGAAUGAGGUAAUUAACCUUAAAUCCCAGAACGACAAUUCAAAGAAACAAAAUUUUUGACCUAAAGAUCCGGCAAAGCCGAUCAACGAACCUAGUUACCCCAGGGAUAACAGCGCAAUCCCCUUCAAGAGUCCCUAUCGACAAGGGGGUUUACGACCUCGAUGUUGGAUCAGGAUAUCCUAAUGGUGUAGCCGCUAUUAAGGGUUCGU
rnacentral:rRNA from 1 species